rnacentral:lncRNA from 1 species
UUUUUAUUUAUGGUCUUUAUGGUUUUUAUUUUAUUAAUGCUUUAUUAGGAAACUUGCAGCCUGGAGACCAGAUCUUAGAGGUGAAUGGUGAAAGCUUGAUUGGUGUGACAAGUGAACGAGCGGUGGACAUUCUUAGAGCAGCAUCCUCAACCAAUCACAUGUGCCUUCUCAUAGCCAGAGAUGAGGAAGCCAGGCAAGAAUUUGCAGAGCUCCUUGAAAAAUAUGGCUCAAACGGCAGCACAGUUUCUACCAGGAAUUCACCCAUUCAGCAUAGUACGUUUCUAUUUUUCAGUCAUUGUCUAGUUUAUAGUAGACGAAAUAUACACAUUUUAAAUAGUAUUGCCUUCUGUAAAUUCUUUCAUUUCUGUGCUCAGGUGUACUAGAAUGUCUCUUUCCUAACCUCACUACUUCCCUGACAUAACAAAGGUUAUGAAAUGCUGAUUCAUGCAAUAUGAUCCUCACAACUGGCUAACAAACAGGAGGAGGAGAGGGAGAAAGCUCUUCAUCAC